rnacentral:tRNA from 2 species
GGGCCGAUAGCUCAGCUGGUAGAGCACCGCCCUUUUAAGGCGGGUGUCGCGGGUUCGAAUCCCGCUCGGCUCA